rnacentral:lncRNA from 1 species
CAGCCCAGAGAAGAGUACUAAAGGGGAAGGAGCUAAUCCACCAGCGUCACCUUUGACUUUGUGCAUCCUAUGGUUGCUAAGCAAAUGCUUACAUGAUGAGUAUGUGCCAACCAAAGAAUGAGAAGAAGAGGAAGAAAGAACAGAGUGAUAUAUGAGACUGGAAAAUAUUUGAAUAUGAGGGAGCAGAUUAUGAAGAGCUGGUGAUUCAGCAGCAAAGAUGUGUUGACCAUGCAAUUUCAUGUGGAUAAAGAACCAAAGGAAGACUGAGAGGAGCUGCAACCCCACAGAAAUACAUUGACAGUUCCCAGUAACUGGGUUAUUUAUGACAGAAGAAUUCACACACACACACUCUCUCUCUCUCUCUCUCUCUCUCUCUCUCUCUCUCUCUCUCUCUCUGAAGUUUGG